UUUUAAUUUUUUAUAUGAAUAGGUGUUAUUUUAAUGGGUAUGUAUAGGGCUCUAAUAACAAAAAAGAAAAAGUUUUGAGGGUUUUAAAUUUAUAACAGGUCAUUAAUAUAUAAGAAAAAAGUACGUGUACCAUAGCUUGAUAAAUGUGUACUUAAUUGAAUUUGAAUAAACAUAACCUCAUCGUGAAGCUCGCCGUGAAAAGCAACUCCUCAUUAGGGAAAAGGAAUCGGCCACCAAUGGAAUGGACAUCGAUCGAUACCAUCUCCGGCAACAUGAAGUUGAAGAAAAUCUCUAAAAAUGAGCACAUUCAUCCAUUUUUCUCCUCUGGUAAAGACAAUAUAUCACGAAUAGUAUCUGAGAAGGAAGUGUUUGAGAUAUACCGGCUAUUAGUGUUUGAGAUACAAAUCGACGAUGUUUGAGAUAUAAUUUGACGAUGUCCGAUGAAAGCAGAUCGGGAAAACUUUGUAUUGCAACUACAAUGGCUAGUGAAACCGAAUCGGAAACUAGAUACGGUUUCCUUCUGCUUCAGAUUCGUCACCGAUGAAACCAGAUCUGGCAACCGACAGAAAACGAGAUCAGAAAGGAUACGAAACGGAGGUGCUUUCCGACGAAGUGCUUUCCAACUAAGGAAGAUGAGAGGCGGAAUGAGAUGGUUCAGGAAGAGGAUAGAAGAAUGAAAUUGUUUGGGGCGCCAGUUCAAGAAGAUGGGAGGAAGUAGUUUUCGAUGAGCGAACGAAUGGGGGCGAAAAAAGGAUGUCAAAGAAGAUCUAUAGUGAGUGAAGAAACAGCAUUUUGUUGGUGGUCCGAUCACUCCGACGGUGUUCCAGUCGAUUCGAUGGUGGUCCGGUAGUCCGAUGGUUGGUGACGGUCCGGUCGUCUUUGGUGGAGCUACUUCAAUGUAAUAUUAUGAGGUGUGGGGAUAGGAUAG
rnacentral:lncRNA from 1 species